rnacentral:rRNA from 1 species
UACGUAGGGGGCAAGCGUUGUCCAGAAUCAUUGGGCGUAAAGCGCGUGUAGGCGGCCAGAAAAGUCCGCUGUGAAAACUCGAGGCUCAACUUCGAGCUGUCGGUGGAAACUUUCUGGCUAGAGUCCGGAAGAGGAGAAUGGAAUUCCUGGUGUAGCGGUGAAAUGCGCAGAUAUCAGGAAGAACACCCGUGGCGAAGGCGGAUCUCUGGGCCGAUACUGACGCUGAGGAGCGAAAGCGUGGGGAGCGAACAGG